AUUGAACGCUGGCGGCAGGCUUAACACAUGCAAGUCGAGCGGAGAUGAGGUGCUUGCACCUUAUCUUAGCGGCGGACGGGUGAGUAAUGCUUAGGAAUCUGCCUAUUAGUGGGGGACAACAUUCCGAAAGGAAUGCUAAUACCGCAUACGUCCUACGGGAGAAAGCAGGGGAUCUUCGGGCCUUGCGCUAAUAGAUGAGCCUAAGUCGGAUUAGCUAGUUGGUGGGGUAAAGGCCUACCAAGGCGACGAGCUGUAGCGGGUCUGAGAGGAUGAUCCGCCAGACUGGGACUGGGACACGGCCCAGACGCCUACGGGAGGCAGCAGUGGGGAAUAUUGGACAAUGGGGGGAACCCUGAUCCAGCCAUGCCGCGUGUGUGAAGAAGGCCUUAUGGUUGUAAAGCACUUUAAGCGAGGAGGAGGCUACUGAGACUAAUACUCUUGGAUAGUGGACGUUACUCGCAGAAUAAGCACCGGCUAACUCUGUGCCAGCCGCCGCGGUAAGAC
rnacentral:rRNA from 1 species